rnacentral:tRNA from 1 species
GUUAAGAUGGCAGAGCCAGGUAAUUGCAAAAGAUCUAAGCCCUUUCAUCAGAGGUUCAACUCCUCUUCUUAAC